UACGAACUGUGCAAACGUUAUUCGGAAUCACUGGGCUUAAAGGGUGCGUAGGCGGCCAGAUAAGUAGGGUGUGAAAGCCCCCGGCUUAACCGGGGAAUGGCGCUCUAAACUGUCGGGCUGGAGUGAGAUAGGGGUGUGUGGAACUUCCGGUGGAGCGGUGAAAUGUGUUGAUAUCGGAAGGAACGCCGGUGGCGAAAGCGACACACUGGAUCUCAACUGACGCUGAGGCACGAAAGCCAGGGGAGCAAACGGG
rnacentral:rRNA from 1 species